CGGCAAUGGAGGAAACUCUGACCGAGCAACGCCGCGUGAACGAUGAAGUAUUUCGGUACGUAAAGUUCUUUUAUUGGGGAAGAAUAAAUGAUGGAAAAAUCAUUCUGACGGUACCUAAUGAAUAAGCCCCGGCUAACUAUGUGCCAGCAGCCGCGGUAAUACAUAGGGGGGCAAGCGUUAUCCGGAAUUAUUGGGCGUAAAGGGUGCGUAGGCGGUUAAAUAAGUUUAUGGUCUAAGUGCAAUGCUCAACAUUGUGAUGCUAUAAAAACUGUUUAGCUAGAGUAAGAUAGAGGCAAGUGGAAUUCCAUGUGUAGUGGUAAAAUGCGUAAAUAUAUGGAGGAACACCAGUAGCGAAGGCGGCUUGCUGGGUCUUUACUGACGCUGAGGCACGAAAGCGUGGGGAGCAAACAGGAUUAGAUACCCUGGUAGUCCACGCCGUAAACGAUGAGUACUAAACGUUGGGUAAAACCAGUGUUGAAGUUAACACAUUAAGUACUCCGCCUGAGUAGUACGUGCGCAAGUAUGAAACUUAAAGGAAUUGACGGGACUCCGCACAAGCGGUGGAUCAUGUUGUUUAAUUCGAAGGUACCCGAAAAACCUCACCAGGUCUUGACAUGCUUCUGCAAAGCUGUAGAAACACAGUGGAGGUUAUCAGUUGCACAGGUGGUGCAUGGUUGUCGUCAGCUCGUGUCGUGAGAUGUUGGGUUAGGUCCCGCAACGAGCGCAACCCUUAUUGUUAGUUACCAGCACGUAAUGGUGGGGACUUUAGCAAGACUGCCAGUGAUAAAUUGGAGGAUGGUGGGGACGACGUCAAAUCAUCAUGCCCCUUAUGACCUGGGCUACAAACGUGAUACAAUGGCUGUUACAAAGAGUAGCUGAA
rnacentral:rRNA from 1 species